rnacentral:lncRNA from 1 species
UACACACGGAUGGCACUGAGAUUAAUGAAGAUAAUCUUAUAUGACGGAUGCUAUUAUGCAUGAAUCAGAUCAUCUUGUACCUGGCAGGCUCUGUGCUGAAGGAAUAUCAGGGUGUCAGACAGGCUGAAAAGGAUAACAACAUGAAGAAAAUGUAUCAGUAUAAUGUAGUGCUAAAGAGUACCACAGAUACAAAGUGCAAAAAGGCUAUUUAACCAACAUCAGACAUGCAAUUACUCACAUUUCUGUUAAAUAUGAACAUUAAUAGAGCAAACCUUUUCUCUGGAACUGGUUCAGACUUGGAUUCGGGUGCUGGUUUGGGUUGAGUUGCAGUUUUAGUUUCAGUUGCUGUUUUAGUUUCAAUUGCUGGUUUAGGUUCGGCUGUUGUUGUAGGUUUAGUUUCAACUGGUUUAGGCUCUGGUGUGGGUUUAGGAUCAGUUUUUGUUAUAGUUUGUGUGAAGGUUUUAGUUUCAGUUGCUGUUUUAGUUUCAAUUGCUGGUUUAGGUUCGGCUGUUGUUGUAGGUUUAGUUUCAACUGGUUUAGGCUCUGCUGUGGGUUUAGGAUCAGUUGAUGUUAUAGUUUUUGUGAAAGUUUUAGUUUCAACUGCUGGUUUAGGUUCGGUUGUUGUUGUAGGUUUAGUUUCAACUGGUUUAAUUUCUGAUGUGGGUUUAGGAUCACUCGCUACUGUAGUCUGUGUUUUAGGUUUAGUUUCAGCCACUAAUUUAGGAUCAGUUGCUGUUGUAGUUUGUGUUGUAGGUUUAGUUUCUGUUUAGUUCAGUUGCUGUUUAGUUCAAUUGCUGGUUUAAUUCAGUUGUUACAGGUUUAGAUUAAUUACUUUUGUGUGUUAUUUUGGACCCUAUUGACAUUCACUGUAUUGGAAAAAACUAUGGAAGCCUGUUUUCUCAAACUCAUAAAUUCUUAAAAAUUUUCUUUUAAACUUAAAACUUAAACUUUAAACUUAAAAGUUUACAUCUCUCACUUCUUCAUUUAUACAGUAUCUCAAAAAUUCAGACUUUGUUUUGCAGAAUUCUGAGUUUAUGUCACAGUUGUUGUUUUUUUGUUUCCCCUGAAGAAUGAAAAAUAAAAUGAGAUAAAAAAGUCACAAUUGCUUUUUUUGUUUGUUUGUUUGUUUCAUGGUGGAAACAGGAUUCUAAUAAAAAAAAAAAAAAGACAUUAGAAACAACUCUCCAGAAUAUAUUCCAGAAUAUAUUAUUUUAUGUUCCUACAAAAUAAAUAACAAGUCCUACUGGUUUGGAAAACAAUGAGGCUGUGCUAAAUGUCUUUUUGGGUGAACUGUCCCUUUAAAUAAAAUUGUGCAUUUUGUCAAAAUCAUCUUUCCCAAUAAAUAUAUACUUAUUAACCUCUAAAAUGCAUGGUUUGCAUCUAAAAUAUAAUUUACAAAAUAUCUUUGUGUGUGUGCUCCACAGAAGAAAGAAAGUCAUACAGGAUUGGAACAACAAGUAUGUAUGUAACUGACAGAAUUUCUGUUUUUGGGUGAAAUAUCCCUUUUUGUGCAUUUUGGUCAAAAUCAGCUUUCCAAAUAAAUACAAACUUAUUAAAUUCUAAAAUGCAUAAUUUGUAUCCAGAUUAAUAAACACAUGAAACCGAACUGAUGUAUGACCACGGCGUCAGAUUUGUUGUAAAGGUUUCGGUCGGCAGUGAUGAAGCAGCCAUCAAUACUGAACAAAGAGCUACAGACGUUCAGGUCGUAAGUUUCACCGAAAGGCCAAAGCCAUACCAGGAUGGUGGUCUGGUUCUGUUCACUUCUGGUGGAAAGGAGACUCUUCACUCGGGCUGUGGAUGUUUCUGACUCGACCGGGCCUGACAACCAGCUCGUAGAUGGUUUGAUGUACAUUAAAAACAAAGUCACAAAGCAUCCUAAUAAAAAGAUACCAAGCAGGAGGGGUCGUAGGAUUCUGUAAAUUGGUGCAGAUGGCAUACUCUGGCCUUUAAAGAGGAAGCAGAUGAAGAUUAAAAGGCAAAAAACAAAAGGGUCAAUAAAUGAAACAGCUGCCUAUAGACCUUAUAGACCUGCCUAUAGAAGGUAAUGCCAUAUAUAAUUUUUGACAGGAAUGAAAACAAGGCUGUAAGGGAAAGAGAUCAGUUUCAUUAAUUUUUUAUGGAAUAGUAGUUCAUUAUUUAGAGAGAAAAAAAACUAUGGUCAAUAUAUUUAACAUGACUAACUAAUCAACUAAUCACAAGCACUGUGAAUUCCAAUGUAAACGCAAAGAAAAUAAUCUUAAAAAUUCACCUGACAGAUUUGCUGAUAUUCAGAAGGUAAAAUGAUUGUAUGUUCCGGGUUCUUCUUUUUAUUACCAGAAGAAUGUCAGUCUUAAAAUCAAAGGUCUUCUCAUGAGGGGAAAAAGACAGAAAAUAGAUUGCAUCACUGUACAAUCAAUAUCAACUGCUAGAUGUCAAGCAUUUUAAGGAAUAAAGCUGCAGACUGACUAUAAAACUGAAUAUUAAAUAACGCUUUGUGUAGAAAGGGUGUAAACAAACAUUUUAGACUGGGGGGAUCCAAAUGUGAAAGUUUAAGAUUUUGUCAUUAAAAACUCCAUAUUGUUUGACCACUGUUCAGUAUUUUUAAGGAGAUAUACCUACCUCAUUGUCUCUGGUGGUCCUGGGUCUGUUGUGGGAUUGUAUCCUCAAAACUAAUUCUGGAUCAUUACAAGAACAAUUAGACAGUCAGUUUUACACAUGGGAACACUGCCAUCUUCAGGAUGUCAACAGAUAAUAGAAACAAACGGCCUAUUAUUUACACCAAUUUUUCACCUUGGCAAGAUGUUAAAAUGAGUUUACAGUUUUUGGAUCUAGAAACACUAGAUUUUGUUUUCUGAAUACAUAUCCAGAACAGAAUCCAAAAUCUUUUUCUUUCCUUUCUUUUUCUUUUUUUAAAUGAAGACCAUGGGACUACUAUAAUGCAAUACAAUUCCCAGUCUUUCAUAAAACCACACUGCAUAUUACAUCCAAAUUCUUCAAAAGUGAACCAAUGACUUCAAGAGGCUAUAAAAAACAUUAGUAUUAAAACAUACCAUUAAAAAUCAAAUAAAGAUUCAAUUAACUUAUUCAGUUAACUUCAAUGGACUGAAUCAACAGCUCAAUUAAUUGUACAAUUUCACAGGGACAUCUGCCAAUAAAAAAAAUCUUCACAGCUUCCACUUAAUAUCACCCUGUUCUGUUUAAUUAGAUGUACUAGUCUGACACAUAUAAGCAAAUUAAUAAUUGAAGAAAUCAAUUAACAACCAAUGAGUCACAUAUCUUUCUAUUAACUUUCACAGCAACACUUCAAAAUAGGGUUCCAUUUUUUAACAUUAGUUAAUUGCAUUAGAUAACAUGAACUAAAAAUGAGAGAUACUUCUACUUAUUAAAAUCAAAAGUUGUAACUGUUAAUAUUAUGUCAUGGACUUGAGAUUUAAUGAACUAACAAUGAAUAGUUGUAAUUUUAACAAGGAUUAAUAGAUACUAUAACAAAUGUAUUUCUAAUUGUUAGGUAAUAUCAGUUGACGCAUUAAAUAAUGUUAGCUAAUGUAACCUCAUUCCAAUUUGUUACCACUUUAACAUUGUACAGGUAUGCGGACUAAAAAAGGAAACAUGACAAUAAAAUGAUUUGGGAUUCUUGUAUGCCAGUGUUCUCAGGUCCAGCAUGUGAGAUAUAUCCGUUCUAACACACCUGUUAUUCACAUCUCAUAUUCAUAAUGCAUUUUGGCUGUGGGGUUUUACACACGCGUUACACUACACAACACAUGGAUACAUGGAAGAGCUGUUUAAAAGGUUUAUCAGUGCAUUUGUGACUCAAUCAUCUCAUAUCACAGCGAAAGCUCUCUGUAAAAGAGCGGACACAGAUGAGGCUUCUGGGAAAUAGAUUAUACACCUGCUAAAUCAAACAUUGCUCACAUCCAGUACAUAAUCAAAUAUAAUUAUGCUAAUGGAUUAUAUAUUUCUCAAAGUUUACAAGCUUUGGGCAAUAAUCAGCUAUUUAAAGGUCCUGAGGGGUGGGUCUUUUAAGUGUUUGGCAUUUCAUAUCUUGUUUCCUAACUGCUAACUGUAUAUAUUUACAUAUUUUUGGCCAAUAACACACAUAUGAUGUAUGGUUUUAUUAAAGUAAACAAAGAUCAAUGAGGUUGCAUGUUUGUGUCUCUCUCUUUCUCUUUGAUAAAGAAAGGCCUUUUGUUUUAAAUGUAUUGUGAUGUAUUUGGGACACAGAGUUGCAUGCUGGUAUACUUCGGUGUUGACGUCUAAUAAAUAGAAGAUGUGGAUGAAGGACGUGAAGAUGAAAAGAAGAACCAUUAAAUAUGAAGCAUUUCUGUAGUUUAUUUAGUAGGCUUUACGAAUUCGUGUCUGUCCCAUCAGUGACAUGAGGGUAAAAUAUUUAAUGAACACACAUCUAAAAUCGUUCAUAAAAACAUAAAUGAAUGUAUAAUACCCUGCAAGGUGUUGUGCUUUCGCCAGUGAUGCUGAAGGUCAUCUUAAAACAGACUGUCACACACAUCUGACAUAUUACUACACGAAAUAUGGCUAUUCCUUAAAUAUGACACGCUCCCUCUCUCCAACAUCUCGACUGCUUUGUCUAUUUUAAGCAAAACCGCAUUGUAUCCAAAAAGGACGCAUGAAGCAUCCCUUGAGAAUGAUCGUCCCUGCGCUCGUGCCAUGUUUAAUUAUUAUAGCUCAAAAAUGCCCCAAGAGAUGAAUGAAAAAAUUAUUGUGCACGCAGUGCGUGAUAUUUAAAGCCUGAACUCGUGUCAUACAAUAUAUGCAAAUCAUGCAGGUAAUAUUCAUAUCAGUAAAUCGUGUCUCACCUGUCCAUCAGCAAACAUCCUCGAGGGAAAGCCACAUCAUGCGCUUCUUUUAUUUACAUCCCACAUACCUCGCAUAUCGGGAUGGUGCUGAAAAAUCUCCGAUGGUGGCAAUAUUCGGAUAGGCUGUACCUGGACCCAUAGCCUUCGCGUCAGAGCUUCACUGCAUGUUACAAUGUGUCCACAGUGAUGACAGACUCAAAUCAGCAGCGCGUGCAAGUCAAAAUGUACGAUCCUAUGGGUCAGAAACGGAGAACGCGAGCAAGUGCGUCGCUGGAAAGGACGCCAUGUAACGCAGUGUGAUAUGAUGUAGAAUAACGUCCCCGUGCUGUUCAUAUGCAUGGAUGCAAUUAUAGAUUUAGAGUAUGUGUGUGUGUGUGCGCGCGCGCGUGAGCGUGCGUACGUGUGUGUGCAGUUAAUACAUGCAAACGCAAGAAUGCAAAGAAAUGCAUGGAAGAGGAAAUUAAAUUUGUAACAGUGCGUUACACUGGAUUAUGUAUGUACUCGUGGAUUAUCCCUUUGUUUAUCAUUGCUGUUUGCAUUCAGUGGCUUACUGCCUAU